GAUGAAGAACGCAGCGAAAUGCGAUAAGUAGUGUGAAUUGCAGAAUUCAGUGAAUCAUCGAAUCUUUGAACGCACAUUGCGCCCCCUGGUAUUCCGGGGGGCAUGCCUGUCCGAGCGUCAUUACAACCCUCAAGCUCAGCUUGGUGUUGGGCCCCGCCGCCCCGGCGGGCCCUAAAGUCAGUGGCGGUGCCGUCCGGCUCCGAGCGUAGUAAUUCUUCUCGCUCUGGAGGCCCGGUCGUGUGCUCGCCAGCAACCCCCAAUUUUUUUCAGGUUGACCUCGGAUCAGGUAGGGAUACCCGCUGAACUUAAGCAUAUCAAUAAGCGGAGGA
rnacentral:misc_RNA from 1 species